GGCGGUUCUCGGGUGAUGCACCCCAGAAUCGGGCUCCCUCCUCUCUGGUUCCAAGUGUGUCACCUGAGAACCACA
rfam:Myotis lucifugus cont2.13815, whole genome shotgun sequence.